GACAGAGGGUGCAAACGUUGUUCGGAAUUACUGGGCGUAAAGCGCGUGUAGGCGGCUUCGCAAGUCGGAUGUGAAAUCCCACGGCUCAACCGUGGAAGUGCAUUCGAAACUGCAAGGCUAGAGUUCUGGAGAGGAAGGUGGAAUGCUUGGUGUAGAGGUGAAAUUCGUAGAUAUCAAGCGGAACACCGGUGGCGAAGGCGGCCUUCUGGACAGUAACUGACGCUGAGACGCGAAAGCGUGGGGAGCAAACAGG
rnacentral:rRNA from 1 species